rnacentral:rRNA from 1 species
AAAUUGAAGAGUUUGAUCAUGGCUCAGAUUGAACGCUGGCGGCAGGCCUAACACAUGCAAGUCGAACGGUAACAGGAAACAGCUUGCUGUUUCGCUGACGAGUGGCGGACGGGUGAGUAAUGUCUGGGAAACUGCCUGAUGGAGGGGGAUAACUACUGGAAACGGUAGCUAAUACCGCAUAACGUCGCAAGACCAAAGAGGGGGACCCUCGGGCCUCUUGCCAUCGGAUGUGCCCAGAUGGGAUUAGCUUGUUGGUGGGGUAACGGCUCACCAAGGCGACGAUCCCUAGCUGGUCUGAGAGGAUGACCAGCCACACUGGAACUGAGACACGGUCCAGACUCCUACGGGAGGCAGCAGUGGGGAAUAUUGCACAAUGGGCGCAAGCCUGAUGCAGCCAUGCCGCGUGUAUGAAGAAGGCCUUCGGGUUGUAAAGUACUUUCAGCGGGGAGGAAGGGAGUAAAGUUAAUACCUUUGCUCAUUGACGUUACC